AUCAUCAACUUUUUUGCUGGCCUAGCAAGGGCAAUGGGGAUACAAUGGGGACAUCACAGGCUUCAUCCCUCCACCCCUCAUCUUCGGGGCUGGCAUCGACUCCACCUGCCUGUUCUGGAGCACGUUCUGUGGGGAGCAAGGCGCCUGCGUCCUCUACGACAAUGUGGUCUACCGAUACCUGUAUGUCAGCAUCGCCAUCGCGCUCAAAUCCUUCGCCUUCAUCCUGUACACCACCACGUGGCAGUGCCUGAGGAAAAACUAUAAACGCUACAUCAAAAACCACGAGGGCGGGCUGAGCACCAGUGAGUUCUUUGCCUCUACUCUGACCCUAGACAACCUGGGGAGGGACCCUGUGCCCGCAAACCAGACACAUAGGACAAAGUUUAUCUAUAACCUGGAAGACCAUGAGUGGUGUGAAAACAUGGAGUCCGUUUUAUAGUGACUAAAGGAGGGCUGAACUCUGUAUUAGUAAUCCAAGGGUCAUUUUUUUCUUAAAAAAAGAAAAAAAGGUU
rnacentral:lncRNA from 10 species